UCCAUAGCUUCGACGGUCCAUGACUUCAAAUUAGGGAGGAUAUUUCAGACUUGUUUCACCCCAACUCCUCUUUUGCUCUUUCUUCAACCGAGAAUUAUUCAGAUCAACAAGCAAUGAUUUCACUAUUGUCGGACGGCGAAUGAACUUUAUCUGCUUAUUCCUCCCUUUCUUUCUUUUCUCCUUUCGUGCUCCUUUUGGACCUUCCUUAGAAUCAUCCACACUCUUUUUCCUAAAACUCAUCAUGA
rnacentral:lncRNA from 1 species